AUGGGUGGUGUAGAUGUUUGCGACCAAAUGGUGGAUUACUAUCGAUCUUUCUAUUUAGUGUUUAAAGACAAAUUAUAAACAGGGUGGCAGAAGGUGACAUAAAAUAUUCAAAAUUUCAUCAGGGAUUAUUUAUUUGACAUAUUAACCCCAAAAUGCCAAUAACUCGACGAACCAACUUAAGUCGUAGAACGCGAAAUGCUGCAAGCCAACAACAUAUACGGGCAAGUCAAACCAACGAGCAACGCGAGAUGCGAAAUGAAGUUGAAAGGAAUACGUUUUUUAAUCUCAUUAAUUUUGGCAGCGAUUCGAUCGCAAAAUGGAAUUGCACUCGCACUUGCCUCAUCAGGUAUUGCAGCUACGUUGUUAGAAGGCGGUCGAACAGCUCAUUCAGCACCCAAGUUGCCGUUAAACAUGGAAAUUAUCGAAACUCCAACUUGCAACAUUUCGAGGAAUUGUGCGAUGGCCAAAGUCUUACAACAAAGCAAAUUAAUCGUUUGGGAUGAGUGCACAAUGGCAAACAAAAAAUCUCUGGAGGCAUUAGACCGCACAUUGCAAGAUUUACGACACAACCAGAACCGGUUUGGUGGUGCGAUGAUUCUAUUGGCAGGUGAUUUUCGACAAACAUUGCCGGUAAUGCCACGAUCAACACCAGCCCACGGACUUAAUGCAUGUUUGAAGUCGUCAAAUUUAUGGAACUAUGUCAAAACACUUAAAUUAAAUAUAAACAUGCGAGUCGAAUUGCAGAACGAUUAAUCUGGAGAAGCUUUUUCAAAACAAUUGCUUGAUAUUGGUAAUGGCAAAAUUCCAGUAGACACAUCGUCGGGAUACAUUAACUUCCCUCCCAAUUUUUGUAACUUUGUUGAAUCAAAAACCGAACUUAUCGAGGAGGUGUUCCCAAAUAUUGUUCAAAAUUAUAAAAACCACGAUUGGUUAAGCGAACGAGUUAUAUUGGCUGCGAAAAACGUUGAUGUCAACGAAAUAAAUUUUGAAAUUCAAAAUAAGAUUGCAGGCGAUCUUAUGAUUUAUAAAUCCAUUGAUUCCGUUACCAACCAAGAUGAUGUCAUUAACUAUCCAACCGAAUUUUUAAGUUCGCUGGAAAUACCCGGACUUCCACCUCAUAAUCUGUAAUUAAGAGUCGGAUCGGUUAUUAUUAUGUUGCGGAACAUAAACCAACCACGUCUUUGCAAUGGCACCCGCCUUGCGGUGAAGAAACUGAUGAACAAUGUCAUCGAAGCAACAAUUUUGAAAGGGAAGUACAAAGGCGAAGACGUUUUAAUUCCACGCAUCCCCAUGAUUCCCAACGAUAUGUCAUUCGAUUUUAAGCGGAUGCAAUAUCCUGUGCGACUUGCAUUUGCAAUGACGAUAAAUAAAUCGCAAGGGCAGUCAUUUAAUGUUUGUGUCAUAAAUUUAGAAAAUCCAUGUUUUUCACAUGGUCAAUUGUAUGUGGCCUGCUCCCGUGUUGGAAAACCUUCCACAUUAUUUAUUUUCGCUCCAGGAAAGAAAACAAACAAUGUUGUGUAUCAAAAAGCGUUACAAUAAAUAUUUACUAGCUUUUUGUAAUA